rnacentral:rRNA from 1 species
CCUACGGGUGGCAGCAGUGAGGAAUAUUGGUCAAUGGGCGUAAGCCUGAACCAGCCAAGCCGCGUGAGGGAUGAAGGUUCUAUGGAUCGUAAACCUCUUUUAUAAGGGAAUAAAGUGUGGGACGUGUCCUAUUUUGUAUGUACCUUAUGAAUAAGGAUCGGCUAACUCCGUGCCAGCAGCCGCGGUAAUACGGAGGAUCCGAGCGUUAUCCGGAUUUAUUGGGUUUAAAGGGUGCGUAGGCGGCCUUUUAAGUCAGCGGUGAAAGUCUGUGGCUCAACCAUAGAAUUGCCGUUGAAACUGGGGGGCUUGAGUAUGUUAGAGGCAGGCGGAAUGCGUGGUGUAGCGGUGAAAUGCGUAGAUAUCACGCAGAACCCCGAUUGCGAAGGCAGCCUGCCGGGCCAUGACUGACGUUGAUGCACGAAAGCGUGGGGAUCAAACAGGAUUAGAUACCCUUGUAGUC